UGAGAACCACAGACUAUUUACAAAUGUACUGAAAUUUUUAAAUGACAAAAACUAGGGAGUAGAAUAUAUUCUAAAACUUCUGAUAAAAAUUUUUGCUUUUACUUUGCAAGACGUAAUUCAGAGGAUCUCAAAG